rnacentral:rRNA from 1 species
ACGAAGGGGGCAAGCGUUGUUCGGAUUUACUGGGCGUAAAGCGUACGUAGGCGGAUCAUUAAGUCAGGGGUGAAAUCCCGGGGCUCAACCUCGGAACUGCCUUUGAUACUGGUGAUCUUGAGUCCGGGAGAGGUGAGUGGAACUCCUAGUGUAGAGGUGAAAUUCGUAGAUAUUAGGAAGAACACCAGUGGCGAAGGCGGCUCACUGGCCCGGAACUGACGCUGAGGUACGAAAGCGUGGGGAGCAAACAGGA